rnacentral:lncRNA from 10 species
UUUGACUCCCCUCUACUUGAUGCACUUCAUUCUCUUGGUUUUUAGGACACCACAACCUCCUAGUUUUUCUUCUGCCUUGAUAGUCACACCUCAGUCUCCACUUAUAAUUCUGAGGACCCCCAGAGCUGAGUCCCAGUCUUCUCUACUUUAUUUAUACACACUCACUUGAUAAUAUCACUCAGCCUCACAGUUUGUAAUCCCAACAUGUUGGUGACUCCUAGGUCUCCAUCUUUGGCUGGGGGAAGUUGACAUUCUGGUUAGCUCCAAAUAU